CGGCGUGCCUAAUACAUGCAAGUAGAACGCUGAAGAGAGGAGCUUGCUCUUCUUGGAUGAGUUGCGAACGGGUGAGUAACGCGUAGGUAACCUGCCUUGUAGCGGGGGAUAACUAUUGGAAACGAUAGCUAAUACCGCAUAACAAUGGAUGACACAUGUCAUUUAUUUGAAAGGGGCAAUUGUUCCACUACAAGAUGGACCUGCGUUGUAUUAGCUAGUAGGUGAGGUAAUGGCUCACCUAGGCGACGAUACAUAGCCGACCUGAGAGGGUGAUCGGCCACACUGGGACUGAGACACGGCCCAGACUCCUACGGGAGGCAGCAGUAGGGAAUCUUCGGCAAUGGGGGCAACCCUGACCGAGCAACGCCGCGUGAGUGAAGAAGGUUUUCGGAUCGUAAAGCUCUGUUGUAAGUCAAGAACGGGUGUGAGAGUGGAAAGUUCACACUGUGACGGUAGCUUACCAGAAAGGGACGGCUAACUACGUGCCAGCAGCCGCGGUAAUACGUAGGUCCCGAGCGUUGUCCGGAUUUAUUGGGCGUAAAGCGAGCGCAGGCGGUUUGAUAAGUCUGAAGUUAAAGGCUGUGGCUCAACCAUAGUUCGCUUUGGAAACUGUCAAACUUGAGUGCAGAAGGGGAGAGUGGAAUUCCAUGUGUAGCGGUGAAAUGCAUAGAUAUAUGGAGGAACACCGGUGGCGAAAGCGGCUCUCUGGUCUGUAACUGACGCUGAGGCUCGAAAGCGUGGGGAGCGAACAGGAUUAGACACCCUGGUAGUCCACGCCGUAAACGAUGAGUGCUAGGUGUUGGAUCCUUUCCGGGAUUCAGUGCCGCAGCUAACGCAUUAAGCACUCCGCCUGGGGAGUACGACCGCAAGGUUGAAACUCAAAGGAAUUGACGGGGGCCCGCACAAGCGGUGGAGCAUGUGGUUUAAUUCGAAGCAACGCGAAGAACCUUACCAGGUCUUGACAUCCCGAUGCUAUUUCUAGAGAUAGAAAGUUACUUCGGUACAUCGGUGACAGGUGGUGCAUGGUUGUCGUCAGCUCGUGUCGUGAGAUGUUGGGUUAAGUCCCGCAACGAGCGCAACCCCUAUUGUUAGUUGCCAUCAUUCAGUUGGGCACUCUAGCGAGACUGCCGGUAAUAAACCGGAGGAAGGUGGGGAUGACGUCAAAUCAUCAUGCCCCUUAUGACCUGGGCUACACACGUGCUACAAUGGUUGGUACAACGAGUUGCGAGUCGGUGACGGCGAGCUAAUCUCUUAAAGCCAAUCUCAGUUCGGAUUGUAGGCUGCAACUCGCCUACAUGAAGUCGGAAUCGCUAGUAAUCGCGGAUCAGCACGCCGCGGUGAAUACGUUCCCGGGCCUUGUACACACCGCCCGUCACACCACGAGAGUUUGUAACACCCGAAGUCGGUGAGGUAACCUUUUGGAGCCAGCCGCCUAAGGUGGGACAGAUGAUUGGGGUGAAGU
rnacentral:rRNA from 1 species